AUGAGAGUUGGGAAUACCCGAAGCCUGUGAGCUAACUUUUAGAGGCAGCAGUCGAAGGUAGAAUCAAUGAUUGGGUGAAGUCGUAACAAGGUAGC
rnacentral:rRNA from 1 species